GAGACCGAUAGCGAACAAGAUGAGGCAAUAACAGGUCUGUGAUGCCCUUAGACGUUCUGGGCCGCACGCGCGCUACACUGACGGAGCCAGCGAGUAUAAACCUUGGCCGAGAGGUCUGGGAAAUCUUGUGAAACUCUGACGUGCUGGGGAUAGAGCAUUGUAAUUGUUGCUCUUCAACGAGGAAUUCCUAGUAAGCGCAAGUCAUCAGCUUGCGUUGAUUACGUCCCUGCCCUUUGUACACACCGCCCGUCGCUACUACCGAUUGAAUGGCUUAGUGAGGCUUCCGGAUUGGUUUAGGAAAGGGGGCAACUCCAUUCUGGAACCGAGAAGCUAGUCAAACUUGGUCAUUUAGAGGAAGUAAAAGUCGUAACAAGGUUUCCGUAGGUGAACCUGCGGAAGGAUCAUUA
rnacentral:rRNA from 1 species